UCCCAUAUUGUCUAGUGGUUAGGAUAUCCGGCUCUCACCCGGAAGGCCAGGGUUUAAUUGUCGGUAUGGGAA
rnacentral:tRNA from 1 species